CGACCUGAGAGGGUGAUCGGCCACACUGGGACUGAGACACGGCCCAGACUCCUACGGGAGGCAGCAGUAGGGAAUCUUCCGCAAUGGACGAAAGUCUGACGGAGCAACGCCGCGUGAGUGAUGAAGGUUUUCGGAUCGUAAAGCUCUGUUGUUAGGGAAGAACAAGUGCCGUUCAAAUAGGGCGGCACCUUGACGGUACCUAACCAGAAAGCCACGGCUAACUACGUGCCAGCAGCCGCGGUAAUACGUAGGUGGCAAGCGUUGUCCGGAAUUAUUGGGCGUAAAGGGCUCGCAGGCGGUUUCUUAAGUCUGAUGUGAAAGCCCCCGGCUCAACCGGGGAGGGUCAUUGGAAACUGGGGAACUUGAGUGCAGAAGAGGAGAGUGGAAUUCCACGUGUAGCGGUGAAAUGCGUAGAGAUGUGGAGGAACACCAGUGGCGAAGGCGACUCUCUGGUCUGUAACUGACGCUGAGGAGCGAAAGCGUGGGGAGCGAACAGGAUUAGAUACCCUGGUAGUCCACGCCGUAAACGAUGAGUGCUAAGUGUUAGGGGGUUUCCGCCCCUUAGUGCUGCAGCUAACGCAUUAAGCACCCCCGCCUGGGGGGAGUC
rnacentral:rRNA from 1 species